GUGACAAUAGGCUAACUGGUAAACUUUGGCACUUCCAAUGCUAUAUUGCGUGUUCGAGUCACGCUUGUCAUA
rnacentral:tRNA from 1 species